CUUGAAGCUAUUUUUAUGUGUUGCUGGAAACCAGAAUUACAGCCAGAGCUGAGGUGCUGGGAGGUUUCCCGGGCGCUCUGGGUCUUGCCUCAGGGAGCAAGGGCCUUUACGGGAAGAUUGGUGGAGGUGGGCCAGGAAUCCACAGUGCAGGCCAUGGAGCGCACCAUGAGCUGGUCCCGGUUCACACAGGAAUCCUGUGAACUGGUACUGAAGCCCAAGGACUUGAUCUAGGGAUGGAAGAACCACUGGGCAUGAAGGAUAGGUGGAAAAGCCUGUCCCUUGGCAAGGCACACAUGAUGCCAGAAUGACAGCAGCGACGGCGCCAGCAGCCGCGGACGCCGGAAGCCGCGGACGUCGGAAGCCACUGACACCGGAAGCUGCUUCGCGUUUCUCAGAAUGGCUCGUGAAUCCAACUCUCACCUUCUCCCCACUUUAUGGGUGAGGACCUCGGACUCAAAAGCUAUACCUGGCUUUUGAAUAGACUGGAGGCCGGGGAAGUUUCUCAUGAUCCCUGCUUGAAGUGGGGUGGGGGCUAGCCCCGGCUGUUGUUGAGGUGAGGCAUGGCGGCUCUUCCUGGAGGAGGCCGAGGCUGGUCAGGACUUGGGUGGGGCUAGGCAGGCCGCUGGGAAGCCACUUCCUGCAUGCUCUUCCCCAGUACGGCUUCCUUCCAGACCCUUCCUGUUUCCUUUUCCUCACUGCUCAGCCAAGCGAUUGUCUCCCUCAGCCCUCUCUGGGCCUGCCCAGGCAGGAUGUGGAGGCAGGAGGUUCGGUUUACAAAAGUCAAGUGUGGAUUAAACACCGUGAACUACAGACUCAGUGUGGCUCAACAGUAACUUUUGUGUUAUGUGUGUUUUACCAAAAUAAACGGAAUUGAAGGGGGGAUGAGAUGGCUCAGUGGACAAAAGAGCUUGCUGCCAAGCCGGAGGGCCUGAAUUCAGUCUCUGGAACACACAUGGUGGAAGGAGAGAAACCAUUCCUGCAUAUUGUCCUCUGGCCUCUACACAGGGUCUGAGGUAUGACGUGUACU
rnacentral:lncRNA from 1 species